GGGUGGUUGGAAGCGGUUGGUGGGCCGGCGUAUGGCGGCCAAGCCUGAGACGCCACGAGGCCGGCUGACGCCGUGGGGUCACUCUUCCUGACUCCCAAACUCACAGAGGCUGGAAGGGAUGGUCGAGGGCUCUUAGGGGCCAACCCUUGGUCUCACUGAUGGCGGUGGGCAAGCCACCCAGUACCGGGGACUGCCGCUGGGGCAAGGAGGACUUCCAGGGCCUGGCGAGAGAGGGCCGGGACCCUGAAGAAAGGGAGGGCUUACUGCUCCGAUGCAGACGAGCAGCCCCAGAUGGAUAAGGAGUUGAGGCCCAGGGAUGCUGAGCUCUGCCGAAGUGGAAGUGACUGGCCACCCGAAUCUGAAAAUCCCAAAUCACUUGGGUGAGUGAAACUCCACUGCAGAUCAGCAGCGCAACUCGAGAGACCCCAUAAGCGUGGCCAGAUAUUUGAGGAGCCGACUAACCAGAAAGGCAGCUGGGUGUCCUGGCCACAAGGACCCAAGGAAUGUGGCAUGGAUUGGCGAGAACCGCACACUUUCCGCACCCAACAUGCGCUACCGGACUGCGGCCGGUUUUGUGCCCGGACACCAGGCAGUUUCAUCUCCAGGGCCUUGCGCAAACAGCCCGGGACCUUGCCAGCCAUGCUGCACCCAGCUCCGUCACCAGACCAGCUGCGCCAAGAGGUUGGCGAUACCCCGACGUGACUAAGUCCGUGCUACCAACCGUGGUGGCCCGUAGAGGCGCCCCCGAGACUUUUAUACCUCCUCUGCCAGCCCUCCAAGUACAGGUCUUUCUGCUUUCAAGUGUCCUUGGCACCGGCUGCAGCUGUGUCCCCUUUGAGGCUCAGGCACUGCUCUGCGUGGCACCUCUGAGGCCCGUUAACGCAGCCUCUUCCAUUUAAAAUCUUCAUGCUUCAGCCUCUUGUCAUUGGGAGCUUAACCUUUGCUCUCUGAAGGAAAGGCUUGCUAAGAAAGGUCUUGGGAGGUUAAGGACUGAUUUUCACCGUCCACCAGCACCCACCUGUUCCUGAGGGUCCUCUGUUGCCUUGUCUGUAGAUGCGAGCUAGAGCCGAAUGGGCCUGGCUUUGAGUAAGGCCAGCGAGGUGGCCUGUUAGAACCACCUUGUCUGAGCUGCGUGCCUGGGCUGCUUGAAGAUGGCUGACAGCUUCAUAGCGGCCACUGCACCACCAAAGCCACGUGAAAUGCGGGUUUACUGUGCCGCUGUACCGCCAGGCCGUGUCAGGUGCUGUGCAGGAAACUCAAGGCAUCCCCAGAGCAGACACUUCGUCCUGCUGCCUAACAGAUGAGCCCACUGACGGCAGUGACCUGGUGGAGUGAGCUGUGCUCAUCCACCCCCUGGCUGUUUGUCCGGGGCCAGAGGCUGCUCAGCUGGGGGCCUUCUACCCCCGAGGAGAGCCCUGGAGGGUGCGCCGCCCGAGCCCUCCACACUUCCUGUCCUGGCCACACGCAGACUUCCUCUCCCGGCCCUGGCCACAUUCAUGCUGUUCCGUCUUCCCUAAGCCACAGCACACACUCGUGGGCAGAAUGUCGAGGCUCACGCUGGGACUUCCAUCAGCCUAGCGUCUCUGAAAUCAGUGGAGAGGCCUGUCAGGGUUGGAGGGCAUGGGGGGCACAGGCCUGUGACAGCGAGGUGGCGCUCCCAGGGGCUUUCUGUGACCAUGAGGGACCAGCCUUCUGCUUUGCUUAGGAGUGAGCUGACGGCCCCUUUUUGAUUUGCAGCUUUUGUUCCGAAUUAGGUAGCAGUUUCCCAUCAUUGCAACACUUGUGUCUUCCGGCCCACACAGAACUGCGUCAUUACAUGCUCCUGCCACUCAGGUCAAGGUAGUGACAGGCCCUUCGAGAGAAGGUGGCACAUUGAAACCAGCCAUCGGUGCUGAGGCCGCGACAGAGCUGGGACAGAGUUCUUUUCCGUGGUGCCCCGAGCCUGCUGCCAAGGCCCCGACAAACGCCUGUUCAAAGGCCGUUGCUUCAGAGUAAACAGUGCUGCCUUUGAGUUGGCUAGGAGGCAGGCAGCUGGGAGGCAGGUUCCAACGUGAUGUCUGAAUGGGGGUCCUCGAGGAAGCUGCCAUAUGCAUCUUUGGUUUAUGAUCAUGUAAGAUCUUGGGGUGCAGAUCUUACAUAAUCUGCCUUUGUCCUGUGACACAUGUCCAUCUGGGACCACCAUAGGGCUGGGAGGGGUAACAUGGAGACCCUGCGUUAGACGCAGCCUGUGUGGGACAUGACAGUGAAGGACUCUUCCGGAGGCACCCCCAUCCUGUUGUGCUUGAUUCAGAGGGUUGGGUGGAGGCUCUCCUGAAGGCUCUGAAGAGCACUACGCCCACGGCCUGUGCAGUCAGGAGGCAGGACAUGGGAUGUUGGACAAGAGCAAGGCCAGCCCCAGCCUGGCCACCGUCAUCUGCCUGCUCCCCUGCAGAGGCCCCCUCCCACCCUGUCAGUCCCCCAACACGGCCCUGGGGCACUGAAAUGAAAACCUGACCCUGAAUUCCUCUGCGCCAAGCCUCCAGUGGUUCCCACGACCUGGAGUGCAACCCACCCCCAGCCUUGGCCUUGAGCACCUGCUUCUGCACGAAGGCCCGAUACUCCAGCCCACAGCGGCCUGCGCCUGUGCCUCCCGUCCCGGGGCUUUCUCACUCGACCUGGCCGGCCCUCUCACCUGCGGGAAGCCCCCCGCCCAUCCAGCCCUCCCUGGGCACCACAGCCCUGUCAUCUUCCUCCUCGUGCCGGAUGACUUGUUGGCCACCCUCCUCUAGACUGAGCCCCAAGGCCACGGGCUGGAGCUGCCUCGCCGGCUGUAGCUUCUCCAGCUUCUGUCUCCCUGUGUGGCG